rnacentral:rRNA from 1 species
CAGCCGCCGCGGUAAUACGAAGGGGGCUAGCGUUGUUCGGAUUUACUGGGCGUAAAGCGCACGUAGGCGGACUUUUAAGUCAGGGGUGAAAUCCCGGGGCUCAACCCCGGAACUGCCUUUGAUACUGGAAGUCUUGAGUAUGGUAGAGGUGAGUGGAAUUCCGAGUGUAGAGGUGAAAUUCGUAGAUAUUCGGAGGAACACCAGUGGCGAAGGCGGCUCACUGGACCAUUACUGACGCUGAGGUGCGAAAGCGUGGGGAGCAAACAGGAUUAGAGACCCCUGUAGUCCCUGUCUCUUAUAC